rnacentral:rRNA from 1 species
GAUCCUGGCUCAGGACGAACGCUGGCGGCGUGCCUAAUACAUGCAAGUAGAACGCUGAAGAGAGGAGCUUGCUCUUCUUGGAUGAGUUGCGAACGGGUGAGUAACGCGUAGGUAACCUGCCUUGUAGCGGGGGAUAACUAUUGGAAACGAUAGCUAAUACCGCAUAACAAUGGAUGACACAUGUCAUUUAUUUGAAAGGGGCAAUUGCUCCACUACCAGAUGGACCUGCGUUGUAUUAGCUAGUUGGUGAGGUAACGGCUCACCAAGGCGACGAUACAUAGCCGACCUGAGAGGGUGAUCGGCCACACUGGGACUGAGACACGGCCCAGACUCCUACGGGAGGCAGCAGUAGGGAAUCUUCGGCAAUGGGGGGAACCCUGACCGAGCAACGCCGCGUGAGUGAAGAAGGUUUUCGGAUCGUAAAGCUCUGUUGUAAGAGAAGAACGGGUGUGAGAGUGGAAAGUUCACACUGUGACGGUAUCUUACCAGAAAGGGACGGCUAACUACGUGCCAGCAGCCGCGGUAAUACGUAGGUCCCGAGCGUUGUCCGGAUUUAUUGGGCGUAAAGCGAGCGCAGGCGGUUUGAUAAGUCUGAAGUUAAAGGCUGUGGCUCAACCAUAGUUCGCUUUGGAAACUGUCAAACUUGAGUGCAGAAGGGGAGAGUGGAAUUCCAUGUGUAGCGGUGAAAUGCGUAGAUAUAUGGAGGAACACCGGUGGCGAAAGCGGCUCUCUGGUCUGUAACUGACGCUGAGGCUCGAAAGCGUGGGGAGCGAACAGGAUUAGAUACCCUGGUAGUCCACGCCGUAAACGAUGAGUGCUAAGUGUUGGAGGGUUUCCGCCCUUCAGUGCUGCAGCUAACGCAUUAAGCACUCCGCCUGGGGAGUACGACCGCAAGGUUGAAACUCAAAGGAAUUGACGGGGGCCCG